CCUGCGGGCGGCAGCAGUGGGGAAUAUUGGACAAUGGGCGAAAGCCUGAUCCAGCCAUGCCGCGUGUGUGAAGAAGGCCUUCGGGUUGUAAAGCACUUUCAGUGGGGAAGAAAGCCUUGGGGCUAAUACCCUCGAGGAAGGACAUCACCCACAGAAGAAGCACCGGCUAACUCCGUGCCAGCAGCCGCGGUAAUACGGAGGGUGCGAGCGUUAAUCGGAAUUACUGGGCGUAAAGCGCGCGUAGGCGGUCUGAUAAGCCGGUUGUGAAAGCCCCGGGCUCAACCUGGGAACGGCAUCCGGAACUGUCAGGCUAGAGUGCAGGAGAGGAAGGUAGAAUUCCCGGUGUAGCGGUGAAAUGCGUAGAGAUCGGGAGGAAUACCAGUGGCGAAGGCGGCCUUCUGGACUGACACUGACGCUGAGGUGCGAAAGCGUGGGUAGCAAACAGGAUUAGAUACCCCUGUAGUC
rnacentral:rRNA from 1 species